GUUGUGCGGGUUGUAGUUCACGAAGGUGAAGCCCCGCGCCUGGUCGAUCGUGUGAAACAGCGGGUUCCAGGUGAACAUGGCGAGCAUGUAUCCUGGAGUCUGGUUGGCGACGAACAUCUUGCCCGAGGUGAACAUGUUGGCGCGUG
rnacentral:ncRNA from 1 species